GUGGCAGCCGCCGCGGUAAUACGUACGGUGCGAGCGUUAAUCGGAAUUACUGGGCGUAAAGCGUGCGCAGGCGGUUUGUUAAGAUAGGCGUGAAAUCCCCGGGCUCAACCGGGGAACUGCGUCUAUGACUGGCAGGCUAGAGUAUGGCAGAGGGGGGUGGAAUUCCACGUGUAGCGGUGAAAUGCGUAGAGAUUUGGAGGAACACCGGUGGCGAAGGCGGCCCACUGGACCAAUACUGACGCUCAUGCACGAAAGCGUGGGUAGCAAACAGGAUUAGAUACCCGGGUAGUCCACGCCCUAA
rnacentral:rRNA from 1 species